rnacentral:lncRNA from 1 species
AGUAAUUAAAAAAAGUUACUUAUAUUUAUCUAUUUAUGGCAAUAUUUCUGACCUUGAAUUUAUGGAAGUGUUAUAGGUUUUCCUUCUAUCCCUCCCAUCAGCAGCCACAGUGAUCCUCCCAGUAAAUCUGCCCAUAUAUCACACUGCUGCUGAAUACAUUCCCGCAGCUCCCGGUUACUUACAGGCUAAAAUUCAAACUCCCGCUCAUACAGCCCUCCAUGAGCUGGCUGCUGGCCCUCUGCCAGCCUCUGUUACAGGAUAUGCUUGUCAUUCCGCACUUCUUCUGCAGGGACACUCUCCUUCCUCCCUUUUCACCUGGUGAACUCCUACUCAACCAUCAGGACUUAGCUGAGGGGCACCAUCUCUGUGAAGCGACCCCUGGCCAUGUCCGGCUUAGGUGGCCCUCUCAGAUUCUCCCACAGCCCUGAAUGUCCUCAGCCAGGCGCUGUCCCACCUGAUCACAGCUGCCUGCUCUCCUCUUGCACCCCCAUGGGCAGUGAGCUCUGCCCUUUAUUUCCAGAGUAAUCUUUGAAGAAAGCGGUCAUGUCCUCCCUCCCUUACUUGCCCCAUCUGAGUCAGAUGAGAGGCUCCCCUUCCUCCCAGCUUGUUCAUCGUGAUCCACUCACACCAGCAGCUUGAAGUUCCUCAAACUCGGCGCUCAUGCUUCCACCUCCUGGCAUUUGCACUUUCUUCUCUGCUGCCUGGAACAAUCCUCCACAGCUGUGACUUGAAGCUCCACCAAUAUCCCUAUGUCCCCACGAG